UCCAUUAGGCUUUCUUAUCCUCCUCGAUGUGUAUAUUUGAUUACCGAAUGACUAAUUUUUUAGAUGUAUAUUAUUGCUACGAAGCUCUAAAUCGAUGUGGUUGAGAUCGAUCUCCUUCUGAACACAGAUCUGGGGGUAGACUAGAGCACCUUUGCCUUGAAGCAUUUAAAAAAGAAGUCCGCACUCAUCGGAGAUUUUUUGGUAGGGAGACUCUUCGAUGUUUAAGUUAGUCAGACUUAGAAAUAAUAAAAAUUAAAAGAGAGAGAGAGAGAGUAAGAAUUUUUUUCUCCGGAGAAUAGACUUGAACAGACUUACCUAAGGGGUCUUUUUCUCCUACUUUAUAUAAAGGGGGAG
rnacentral:lncRNA from 1 species